rnacentral:rRNA from 1 species
GGAUAACACUUGGAAACAGGUGCUAAUACCGCAUAACCAUAGUUACCACAUGGUAACUAUGUAAAAGGUGGCUAUGCUACCGCUUUUGGAUGGGCCCGCGGCGCAUUAGCUAGUUGGUGGGGUAAAGGCUUACCAAGGCAAUGAUGCGUAGCCGAACUGAGAGGUUGAUCGGCCACAUUGGGACUGAGACACGGCCCAAACUCCUACGGGAGGCAGCAGUAGGGAAUCUUCCACAAUGGGCGAAAGCCUGAUGGAGCAACGCCGCGUGGGUGAAGAAGGUCUUCGGAUCGUAAAACCCUGUUGUUAGAGAAGAAAGUGCGUGAGAGUAACUGUUCACGUUUCGACGGUAUCUAACCAGAAAGCCACGGCUAACUACGUGCCAGCAGCCGCGGUAAUACGUAGGUGGCAAGCGUUAUCCGGAUUUAUUGGGCGUAAAGGGAACGCAGGCGGUCUUUUAAGUCUGAUGUGAAAGCCUUCGGCUUAACCGGAGUAGUGCAUUGGAAACUGGGAGACUUGAGUGCAGAAGAGGAGAGUGGAACUCCAUGUGUAGCGGUGAAAUGCGUAGAUAUAUGGAAGAACACCAGUGGCGAAAGCGGCUCUCUGGUCUGUAACUGACGCUGGGGUUCGAAAGCGUGGGUAGCAAACAGGAUUAGAUACCCUGGUAGUCCACGCCGUAAACG